rnacentral:rRNA from 1 species
UACGUAGGGUGCAAGCGUUGUCCGGAAUUAUUGGGCGUAAAGAGCUCGUAGGCGGUCUGUCGCGUCGGCUGUGAAAACCCGGAGCUCAACUCCGGGCCUGCAGUCGAUACGGGCAAACUGGAGUGUUGCAGGGGAGACUGGAAUUCCUGGUGUAGCGGUGAAAUGCGCAGAUAUCAGGAGGAACACCCGUGGCGAAGGCGGCUCUCUGGGACGGUACUGACGCUGAGACGCGAAAGCGUGGGGAGCGAACAGG